AACUCAUAGGAAAUAUGAUAGAUGCAUUUAUUUACCGAAGCGUAAAGUUCGGAUACAUUUCGGUUUACCGUUAAUUAACGUUAGCCAAACUUAAGCUAGCCUUUACAUUUUUAAAAGAAAGUUGUCCUUGAAGCGUCUUGUCUUUCAAAUUCAAGCUACCAAUUCCCCGGGCCUUGAUGUGAACUCCGGUCCUGCUUCCAGGACGGAAUCAUUUUCUAUGAUUGGAGACACUCGAAUGAAAGAAUAUUGUGUUUCUGUCUUUGGCCUGUCUGACAGGGAGAAUUUUACAGAGCACUCCGUGAUCGAUAUUUGCCGAUCCGUCUGCCCGUAUCAACCUCAAAUAAAAGCAGAGAGCAGGAGACAAGGCAGCACAAGCAGGUCGUCGGGAGGUCUGCUGCACCACCCUCCCCCGUUUGAAGUCUGCGAAAGCACUCAUCAGUGUGUAGAACCGGCCUCGACUUGGCACGCCGGGUCACCGCCGCCUCACCCUGAGCAGCGCACGGUUGAUUGUCUCGCUGUCGGGGCGUGCAGGGUUGUUGUUUUCAGAGGUGAGAGGACAGGUCUUUUCCGGCAAGCUGGGCUAGGGUUUUUUAAUAGGGCCCCUCGCCGGCCUGCCCAGGCCGACACACCGAUCAUGAUGAUCGGGGGGGGGAACCCGUCGGAGACUCACUCCUCCUCCUCUUGCCAGACCUCAGCUCAUGUUACUGUAUUUUUAUUCAUCGCGUGUG
ensembl:lncRNA